rnacentral:rRNA from 1 species
UUACGACUACAUAUCAGGCAUAUCAAUAAGCGGAGGAAAAGAAACUAACUAGGAUUCCCUCAGUAACGGCGAGUGAAGCGGGAAGAGCUCAAAUUUGAAAUCUUCAAGGUUUUACCUUGACGAAUUGUAGUUUAAAGAAGUGUUUUCUGUUGGAGUUUCGGUAAAAGUUCUUUGGAAUAGGACAUCAUAGAGGGUGAGAAUCCCGUAUUUGGCCGUUACUUUCCAGCUGUGUGAUACACUUUCAAAGAGUCGGAUUGUUUGGGAAUGCAGUCCAAGAUGGGUGGUAAAUUUCAUCUAAAGCUAAAUAUUGGCGAGAGACCGAUAGCGAACAAGUACCGUGAGGGAAAGAUGAAAAGAACUUUGAAAAGAGAGUUAAACAGUACGUGAAAUUGUCAAAAGGGAAGCGUUUGACACCAGUGUUGUUUUCUCGAAAAUCAAUUAAAAAGUAUGGGAUUUUGUAUUGUUAAGACCUUAUCAGCUUACGGUACUUUUUUCUUAUUCUUUUUAAUGCACUUUUCGUUUAACAAGUCAACAUCAAUUUCUUUUGUUGUAAAAGAGUCAUUGGAAGGUGGCUUUCACUUCGGUGAAAGUGUUUAUAGCCUUUGGCUUCUACAAUCGGAGAGACUGAGGUCUGCAGCGUAGAUCCUUCUUGGAUUAGAUUCAUUUGUGCUAAGUUAUAGCUUUUCAUAGACAACAUGUUGACUAUAGUUUAGUCUUGUAGCUUACUCGCUUAUGUAAUUUUACCUACGCUUAGGAUGUUGAAUCUGUGCGAGACUAC